UAGGGAAUCUUCCGCAAUGGACGCAAGUCUGACGGAGCAACGCCGCGUGAGUGAAGAAGGAUUUCAGUUCGUAAAACUCUGUUGUUAGAGAAGAACAGCGCAUAGAGUAACUGUUAUGCGUGUGACGGUAUCUAACCAGAAAGCCACGGCUAACUACGUGCCAGCAGCCGCGGUAAUACGUAGGUGGCAAGCGUUGUCCGGAUUUAUUGGGCGUAAAGCGAGCGCAGGCGGUCAAUUAAGUCUGAUGUGAAAGCCCCCGGCUCAACCGGGGAGGGUCAUUGGAAACUGGUUGACUUGAGUGCAGAAGAGGAGAGUGGAAUUCCAUGUGUAGCGGUGAAAUGCGUAGAUAUAUGGAGGAACACCAGUGGCGAAGGCGACUCUCUGGUCUGUAACUGACGCUGAGGUUCGAAAGCGUGGGUAGCAAACAGG
rnacentral:rRNA from 1 species